AUCUGCUUUGCAGCAUCAUAAAUGUUGAAGUAAUUCAAGAAAAGCUCUACAUCUUUUCUCUUGUAUACCCGUGAUCCGGACACCGCUGUUACGUAGAAAAUAGAAUUUAGUGAAGCAAAAAAAAUUAAAAACAAGGAGUCCAUAUCAUUGUGCCUUUCAAUAUGAAUGUUGUUUUGGGUUACAAAGUCUACAAAAAAAGAGCUAUAAGUAGAUUUCUGUUGCUGUUUCUUGUAACCUUCAGCUAGAGUCCUUUGCUAUAGAUGUAUGAACGUGCUCCCUAUCAUAUUCUACUGUAGUGUAACACUGAGAGAGUGAGGAUCUGGAUCCGCAUACAUUAUACCUGUACAUAUACCCAUACUUACUUCAAUAUAUAUUUUUCUAUUACAAAUUGAUCCACUCGUUCCUCUAUCAGUGAACCUCAACAAUAAACGUAGAACAAUUUCCACAUUUCUAUUUAACUAAUAAUUAUAAUCUAAAUCCAGUUGAAUUUGAUGCAAGAUAUUUCCUUAUUGAUAUGCUCCCACUGCAUAUCCUCAUUGAUGAUUCUGUUUGGUCUAUUGCACGUCUGUCUACUAUUCCACGAGAAUUAGUUGUGGCACGUUAUUCGAGCAUUAAAGGGAGACGAAAAUUGUAUUCCAAUAGCUAAGUCGUGUUUCAAUCCUGCUAUGAUGAUCACGAUCCUGGUCAUCGUUUCAUAUUUCAAUCAUAGUCUGAUCUUAUCAAUCGAGAAGAAUUUCUAAUGUUUUCAGAAGAUUGUUCGGAGAUUAUCCGCUGUAUUGAACACAAGUCACCCGUGUGUCUGCUGACUGCGAGUCAGCUACUAAUCGGGUCCUCCGUGCAGCUUUAAUCAGCACGAUUCUCAUGUGCGCGAUUGUACCGACUUUCAUGACCGCGCACAUCUUCAAAAAAGCUAACUAACCGACUGAUAACAGUAGUAUCAAUUAGACCAAACAAACGCAUUGUAUCGAGCGGUACCGAGUGAUUGUAUCAGGUUGUAACAGACGUAGGUUCGAUUAAAUUUCUCAUUAUUUUUCUUUAUUUGACCAAAUUUUUCUACGUUACAAUCCAAUGUACAAACUAUCUAAUCGAACCUCUGCAAUCAAUUUUAUUGUUCUUCUUCGUCGACCGCUGCCUCCAAGUUUGUCCAACUUCUGUCAAGCUGCAUCAACCAAAGAUGUUUAAUGGGCGAGAUCCUAAGCAAUUGAAUUAUAUUUUAAUAAAUAAUUAAUUUACUGCUAAGCAACGAACUUUCGCCUGUAUCUUGAGAACCAAAACAAUCAUCGAAACAGGACAAAAGGAAAUGAUAGUCAGAUUCGCUAGCUACGAAAACCGUAUUCGUCUCUCAACAUAAUCGCCGUUGACUUCGAUGUACCUUUGCCAAAGCGUGGCAAGUUUUCUUGUUGAAGUAACUGCUUCAAGAAAAAUUCUACAUCUUUAUUUAUGUGUAAAAAAAUAUUCUAAACAAGGAGAGGUGCAUAUUAUUGUACCCUUGAAUAUACAUUAUGUUUUGGGUUGCAAGGUCUAGGAACAAAGGAACUAAUCAACAGAUUUCUAUUUAUGUUCCUUGUAGCCCUUAGCUAAAGCUAUAAGGUUAACUUUUUUGAUAAUGUUCUUUUGCUAUAAAUAUAUGAACGUGCUCCCUAUCGAUUCCAUUGUCUCAUAACAUUAAGAGAGUAAGAAUCUGGAUCAACAUAAACUUAUACCUUUAUUUAUUUCAAUAUAUUUUUCUAUUACAAAUUCAUCGACUCGUUCUUCUAUCAGUCGACCCUAACAUUUCUCAUUCCGUCAAUGCAAGAUCCCGUCAACCUACUCUCGACAAAGCAAGUCACUGCUAUCUUGACUCGUCGUCCAACUGGAAACGAAUAUCCUCGAGUGUCCUUUUCAAUUCUGCGAAGAAAUGGAAAUCAUUGAAUCUGGGAAUUUCAGUCUCGCAAAGGACAUCGAGCGCCGUGCGUGCGAUCGAGCGUUGCGCUGCGACAGUGUCGUCUCGGUUGAGUUGCGAACCUGACGUACGCGUCUUCGCAAAUGCUUCGUGGUUUUCACAUCACGACAUACGUUGCCAGUAAAAUGACGAUGAAUUUCCGUAAAUGUGUAAGAUUUCUUCCUGUUAAAAACUUCCUCUCAUUGUACGUUGCCUGAAUCUCGUUCACAUCUCACCCAUACUCAACCUCGCUCUAAACGAUACUGUUCGUCAUUGCGUUAAAUAAACUUAUUGAUAAACUAAAGGUGAACUUAUUUAUAAAGGACGAAUGUAGCUGUAAAACGAGUGUUCACGCAGAGGUGUAGCUCGUUUCGUUUUGGGGACAGACGAAGCACGUUCAUUAUCGACACUCGUAUAAUUGCGAUCGUGAGUUCCAAUAAGAAUCUUUUCAUAUUUCGCUCAAAGAAUUGGAAAGACGAAAUUGGGUCGAAAAUGACCGAAAGAUCAUAGCAUACGUCGAAGCUCUACUUGAGUAUUUAGUGGAAAACAUUUGAAACAGCGCGUCUUUACAGAUGUAGAUAACAAUGAUUCGCUAAUGAUUCAGGUGGAGAUUAGAGGUAUCACUUAACGACGUAGCAAUUUGUCGCGAGAAUAAUGAUACGUUGCCGAUACAAGGCGACACUGGCCAGCUGAAAUGGCUUACGUAGCCACCCUAAAUAACCAAACGUAAUUACAGUUUCCGAAUUAAUAGAUAGUAGCAACACGGGGCGAGUCAAACAUCGUGCUUUGACUAGCUGCAAACGCCUCAACGAGAACAAUUUGCAUUAUCUACAUCGCGCUGUCAAUUGGAUUUUGAAUAUCGGAACGAACGCUUCUCCACGCACGUUUCCCUAUUCUGAUUCCAUUAAUAUUUCCUGUGAAUUAUCAGCUUGAUGUUUCCCAUUGAUAGCGCUUGUUAUAUUUGUACAAAGAUUAAUCAGGUAAUCCUCAGACAUUUUGAAAUUAACAAGAAACGAUGGUGUGCUAAUAUUCCACGUCAGAGCCUUCUUACAGGAUUAAUUUAUUGCAAUUAUUGUUAGUGCGACUUUACGAGUAUAAGUGAAGUAUAAGCUGUGCGUGAUUAUAACUAGUUGGCUAAUGAAACGAGUGGAAUCUUGCAAAUGAAUUUUAAAAAUUACAAGUUAUUUUUUAUGUAAUAUUGUAAAAUUAUGAGAGAGAAAAGUAUACAGUUUGUAACUCGUUAAUUCACUGAUAUUACUAGUUGGAAAAUGAUGGUGUAAAAAGGUUCAGCAGUAAACUGUUUUUCUAAAUAAUAAGCCACAUGAUAAAAAGAUAGAUUAUAGGAUUUGUAGGGAAAAUAAUCUUCUUCUCAAUUAACGUCAUAUUUGUACAAGGAUAAGAUAAUUUUAUCAGCAGCUGAAGAAAAAAUUUUGUAUAUAAAACGAUCAAUAUAUAUCACUUUAAAUACGUAACCGUGUGGUGAACGUUACCUCCGAUAUAAACAAGACAGUGAAAGAAAUUGGAACAAAAAAAAAAAAAAAAGAAUACAAA